rnacentral:rRNA from 1 species
GACGAACGCUGGCGGCGUGCUUAACACAUGCAAGUCGAACGAAGUGGCGAACGGGUGAGUAAUACGUGGGUAACCUGCCCUCCUGUUUGGGAUUAGCCUUGGAAACGGGGUCUAAUACCGAAUAAAGGGGGUUGGCCUCGCGGCCUGUCAGCUUGGUGGUGGGGGCUUGGCCUACCAAGGCGGUGACGGGUAGCCGGCCUGGGGGGGUGAUGGGCCGGAUAGGGGCUGAGAGACGGCCCAGACUCCUACGGUAGGCAGCAGUGGGGGAGAUUGCACGAUGAGCGAAAGCCUGAUGCAGCGACGCCGCGUGGGGGAUGAAGGCUUUCGGGUUGUAAACCUGUUUGGCUAUCGAACGGGUAGGUUGGGAGGAGGCGCCGGUUAAUUACGUGCCAGCAGCCGCGGUAAUC